ACUUAAAUUGAAGAGUUUGAUCAUGGCUCAGAUUGAACGCUGGCGGCAGGCCUAACACAUGCAAGUCGAGCGGUAGCACAGAGAGCUUGCUCUCGGGUGACGAGCGGCGGACGGGUGAGUAAUGUCUGGGAAACUGCCUGAUGGAGGGGGAUAACUACUGGAAACGGUAGCUAAUACCGCAUAACGUCGCAAGACCAAAGUGGGGGACCUUCGGGCCUCAUGCCAUCAGAUGUGCCCAGAUGGGAUUAGCUAGUAGGUGGGGUAACGGCUCACCUAGGCGACGAUCCCUAGCUGGUCUGAGAGGAUGACCAGCCACACUGGAACUGAGACACGGUCCAGACUCCUACGGGAGGCAGCAGUGGGGAAUAUUGCACAAUGGGCGCAAGCCUGAUGCAGCCAUGCCGCGUGUGUGAAGAAGGCCUUCGGGUUGUAAAGCACUUUCAGCGGGGAGGAAGGCGGUGAGGUUAAUAACCUCACCGAUUGACGUUACCCGCAGAAGAAGCACCGGCUAACUCCGUGCCAGCAGCCGCGGUAAUACGGAGGGUGCAAGCGUUAAUCGGAAUUACUGGGCGUAAAGCGCACGCAGGCGGUCUGUCAAGUCGGAUGUGAAAUCCCCGGGCUCAACCUGGGAACUGCAUUCGAAACUGGCAGGCUAGAGUCUUGUAGAGGGGGGUAGAAUUCCAGGUGUAGCGGUGAAAUGCGUAGAGAUCUGGAGGAAUACCGGUGGCGAAGGCGGCCCCCUGGACAAAGACUGACGCUCAGGUGCGAAAGCGUGGGGAGCAAACAGGAUUAGAUACCCUGGUAGUCCACGCCGUAAACGAUGUCGAUUUGGAGGUUGUGCCCUUGAGGCGUGGCUUCCGGAGCUAACGCGUUAAAUCGACCGCCUGGGGAGUACGGCCGCAAGGUUAAAACUCAAAUGAAUUGACGGGGGCCCGCACAAGCGGUGGAGCAUGUGGUUUAAUUCGAUGCAACGCGAAGAACCUUACCUGGUCUUGACAUCCACAGAACUUUCCAGAGAUGGAUUGGUGCCUUCGGGAACUGUGAGACAGGUGCUGCAUGGCUGUCGUCAGCUCGUGUUGUGAAAUGUUGGGUUAAGUCCCGCAACGAGCGCAACCCUUAUCCUUUGUUGCCAGCGGUUCGGCCGGGAACUCAAAGGAGACUGCCAGUGAUAAACUGGAGGAAGGUGGGGAUGACGUCAAGUCAUCAUGGCCCUUACGACCAGGGCUACACACGUGCUACAAUGGCAUAUACAAAGAGAAGCGACCUCGCGAGAGCAAGCGGACCUCAUAAAGUAUGUCGUAGUCCGGAUUGGAGUCUGCAACUCGACUCCAUGAAGUCGGAAUCGCUAGUAAUCGUAGAUCAGAAUGCUACGGUGAAUACGUUCCCGGGCCUUGUACACACCGCCCGUCACACCAUGGGAGUGGGUUGCAAAAGAAGUAGGUAGCUUAACCUUCGGGAGGGCGCUUACCACUUUGUGAUUCAUGACUGGGGUGAAGUCGUAACAAGGUAACCGUAGGGGAACCUGCGGUUGGAUCACCUCCUUACCUUAAAGAA
rnacentral:rRNA from 2 species